UUCUUCGGCCGGGAAUCGAACCCGGGCCGCCCGCGUGGCAGGCGAGUAUUCUCGCCAUUGAACUACCGAUGCUUAUAAGA